GAUUCUGUGGUCUAGUUGGUUAUGGCAUCUGCUUUACACGCAGAUAGUCCCCGGUUCGAUCCCGGGCAGAGUCA
rnacentral:tRNA from 1 species